UACGUAGGGUGCGAGCGUUAAUCGGAAUUACUGGGCGUAAAGCGUGCGCAGGCGGUUAUGCAAGACAGAUGUGAAAUCCCCGGGCUCAACCUGGGAAUUGCAUUUGUGACUGCACGGCUAGAGUGUGUCAGAGGGGGGUAGAAUUCCACGUGUAGCAGUGAAAUGCGUAGAGAUGUGGAGGAAUACCGAUGGCGAAGGCAGCCCCCUGGGAUAACACUGACGCUCAUGCACGAAAGCGUGGGGAGCAAACAGG
rnacentral:rRNA from 1 species